rnacentral:rRNA from 1 species
UACGAAGGGGGCUAGCGUUGCUCGGAAUCACUGGGCGUAAAGCGCACGUAGGCGGACUUUUAAGUCAGGGGUGAAAUCCUGGAGCUCAACUCCAGAACUGCCUUUGAUACUGGAAGUCUUGAGUUCGAGAGAGGUGAGUGGAACUGCGAGUGUAGAGGUGAAAUUCGUAGAUAUUCGCAAGAACACCAGUGGCGAAGGCGGCUUACUGGCCCGAUACUGACACUGAGGCACGAAAGCGUGGGGAGCAAACAGG